rnacentral:lncRNA from 11 species
UGUAUUCUACAUGGGACAUUUGUUUUCAAGACAUUGGAGAGAAGCCGACACACUGUCAAGGCUUGGACAUGGUUUAGAAUGGAACAGAAGCUAAGAAUUGGAAGGCAGAAGUGAGAGCUGUCAGGAUCCAGGGGUAAAUCUGAAGACAGAAGUGGAAAAGACCAGAAGGAACCUAAAAGUCCAACCAUUCAGAGCCUUUCUCCAGGCCGAGUCCAAACAUCCACCUUCUCCAAGUGGUUGCAGAGGAAGAUCAAUGUUCAGUCAACCAUCAAGUCAACAUUUACCUCUUUCGAUGUCGGAAAUACCGGAGGAACAAGAGUGCCACACUCUCAAUUGGCAACACAGCAGUCUGAAAGUUCACAAGGUUAGAAGCACUUCUCACCCAGAAUGCAAACUGUGAACCACAUUUGGAAAUAAUGUUUUUAAUUACAAGUAGCAUUUUUGAGACUGUUGGCAGUGGCUAUGGGGCAUAAGUGAGGAGAUCCCAUCUGACAGUAGAUGGCUGUGAUUUGGAUGCAAGAGACUGCAAACCAGUUUCAAUCCUGCUUUGCUAAUCAAAUCAAGAGCUUUCACUCUAAGCAGAAGGCCUUCGAAGUGGCACAUGAGGCUUCGUUGGAGAGAUCUCAUUAUCCUCCAUAAAAGAAAUUGUGCUUGCUUCUGUCAAGAAAAUGUUUGCAGGGGCCCCAAG